CAUGCCCUCGUGUUCUACCAGCUAAGAUGCAGCCUGCUGCAGGGUCUCUGUGAGUAUGAGUCCUGCCCCGUGCUGUGCUACCCUCCUCCCUGGGAGCCCCCUGCCCUGUGGGCACAGCAGCAGGGCCAUGCAGAGGCAGGUACUGUGGGGGCACAGGGAAGCCUGCAGAGGCUCAUGGCAUCACAGUGCCAGGCCCAGCUUAUUGGAAUUCCCAAGGUCCUAUGGGACUCGGGCUGAGGCAGCACAUCCUGCUUUU